AUUGAACGCUGGCGGCAGGCUUAACACAUGCAAGUCGAGCGAGCGGCGGACGGGUGAGUAAUGUCUGGGAAACUGCCUGAUGGAGGGGGAUAACUAAUGGAAACGGUAGCUAAUACCGCAUACCAUCAGAUGUGCCCAGAUGGGAGUAGCUAGUAGGUGGGGUAAUGGCGCACCUAGGCGACGAUCCCUAUCUGGUCUGAGAGGAUGACCAGCCACACUGGAACUGAGACACGGUCCAGACUCCGCCGGGAGGCAGCCGUGGGGAAUCUUGCACAAUGGGCGCAAGCCUGAUGCAGCCAUGCCGCGUGUGUGAAGAAUGCCUUCGGGUUGUAAAGCACUUUCAGCGAGGAGGCGUUACUCGCAGAAGAAGCACCGGCUAACUCCGUGCCAGCAGCAGCGGUAAUUC
rnacentral:rRNA from 1 species